rnacentral:rRNA from 1 species
CACCUGUGCACUUGUCGGAUGGCUUAGUGAAGACCGCAAGGUUGGAACUAUCCAUCUACUUUACAUAACAAUUUAGUAACAAAUGUAUUCUUAUUAUAACAUAAUAAAACUUUCAACAACGGAUCUCUUGGCUCUCGCAUCGAUGAAGAACGCAGCGAAAUGCGAUAAGUAAUGUGAAUUGCAGAAUUCAAUGAAUCAUCGAAUCUUUGAACGCACCUUGCGCUCCCUGGUAUUCCGGGGAGCAUGCCUGUUUGAGUGUCAUGAAAACCCUCAACCUUAGAUUGGUUAACACCUUUCUUUGGCUUGGAUUUGGACGUUUGCCGAUGAUAAGUCGGCUCGUCUUAAAAGUAAUAGCUGGAUCUGUCUCGCGACAUGGUUUGACUUGGCGUAAUAAGUAUUUCGCUAAGGACAUCUUCGGAUGGCCGCGUUGCAAGACUAAAGACCGCUUUCUAAUCCAUUGAUCUUCGGAUUAAUAUUCUUGACAUCUGGCCUCAAAUCAGGUAGGACUACCCGCUGAAUUAAGCAUAACAAA